UAGCUAGUUGGUGAGGUAAAGGCUUACCAAGGCGACGAUCUGUAGCGGGUCUGAGAGGAUGAUCCGCCACACUGGAACUGAGGCACGGUCCAGACUCCUACGGGAGGCAGCAGUGGGGAAUUUUGGACAAUGGGGGCAACCCUGAUCCAGCCAUGCCGCGUGAGUGAAGAAGGCCUUCGGGUUGUAAAGCUCUUUCGGCCGGGAAGAAAUCGCAUGGGCCAAUACCCUGUGUGGAUGACGGUACCGGAAUAAGAAGCACCGGCUAACUACGUGCCAGCAGCCGCGGUAAUACGUAGGGUGCGAGCGUUAACCGGAAUUACUGGGCGUAAAGCGUGCGCAGGCGGUUUUGUAAGACAGGCGUGAAAUCCCCGGGCUUAACCUGGGAACUGCGUUUGUGACUGCAAGGCUAGAGUACGGCAGAGGGGGGUGGAAUUCCACGUGUAGCAGUGAAAUGCGUAGAGAUGUGGAGGAACACCAAUGGCGAAGGCAGCCCCCUGGGUCGAUACUGACGCUCAUGCACGAAAGCGUGGGUAGCAAACAGGAUUAGAUACCCUGGUAGUCCACGCCCUAAACUAUGUCAACUAGGUGUUGGGUGGGUAAAACCAUUUAGUACCGUAGCUAACGCGUGAAGUUGACCGCCUGGGGAGUACGGCCGCAAGGUUAAAACUCAAAGGAAUUGACGGGGACCCGCACAAGCGGUGGAUGAUGUGGAUUAAUUCGAUGCAACGCGAAAAACCUUACCUACCCUUGACAUGCCAGGAACUUGCCAGAGAUGGCUUGGUGCCCGAAAGGGAGCCUGGACACAGGUGCUGCAUGGCUGUCGUCAGCUCGUGUCGUGAGAUGUUGGGUUAAGUCCCGCAACGAGCGCAACCCUUGUCGUUAAUUGCCAUCAUUUGGUUGGGCACUUUAACGAGACUGCCGGUGACAAACCGGAGGAAGGUGGGGAUGACGUCAAGUCCUCAUGGCCCUUAUGGGUAGGGCUUCACACGUCAUACAAUGGUCGGUACAAAGGGUUGCCAAGCCGCGAGGCGGAGCCGAUCCCAGAAAGCCGAUCGUAGUCCGGAUUGCAGGCUGCAACUCGCCUGCAUGAAGUCGGAAUCGCUAGUAAUCGUGGAUCAGCAUGUCACGGUGAAUACGUUCCCGGGUCUUGUACACACCGCCCGUCACACCAUGGGAGCGGGUUCCGCCAGAAGUAGGUAGCCUAACCGCAAGGGGGGCGCUUACCACGGCGGGGUUCGUGACUGGGGUGAAGUCGUAACAAGGUAGCCGUAGGGGAACCUGCGGCUG
rnacentral:rRNA from 1 species